GAUCUUUGUAGAAAAUGGACGGGGUGGGGCGGCACCUCAUGCGGAAACUGGGCGGGGACUAAUGGAGAAUGGACUGAGCUGGGGCGGAGUCUGGUGGGAUUGGGCGGGGAUUGGGCGGAGCCCCCUCCCGGCUUCCAGGGAGCGUCGGCCAAGAGCCGGUUCGUGCGCGCGCCGCACAGUCAGAGUUUGGGGCUGGAAAUGCGUCGCCCCAGACCCCAGUCAGGUCGUGGUUCUGCUGAGUCUGUAGGCCAAGACCCAUUCAGCAGUUCUGCAAGAGCAGCUCGCGCCAUCCACCCGUAAGGAGUGCCCCGUGGGUGAUCUGCUGGAGCCGGAUCAGCGACCACCACGCGCAUCUCCUGACGCCCGGAAGAGCAGCUCGACGCCCCCACCAACACGGCCGCUCAUGCCCUCGGCUUACGGUGACCUUGGAAGAACUCUAGCUGCAUCUUUGUCCUUACUUCUGUUUCUCUUUCCGUCGGAGCUCUGCGCCUACUGUCCCAGCGCUCCCCAUCCCUAAGCAAAGGUGCCCACUUGGACGAGACCGUUGCAGGAAGCCGCCCUCGUACCCACCAGAGAUAAAGCCAAAAUGGGAAUUUUGCUGCCAGCCGACAGGCUGUUCUGUGUGACCUUGAUCUUUCAAACGUUCAGUUAACGUGCUAACCCCCCUUUACCCUCGAGAGGCAUUGGGACCCGAGUCAGCCUCUGGGGUUCAGCCCCUCAUUGAUGACCUUGGUCAGCACCCCCAUCCCACCUAAAGCUCCUCCGUUUGCCUCACAGUACAAGGGGAAGAACAGUAACACCUAACUCUUAGGGACCAGCAUACGGCUGAGCCAUAGUCCCUGGAAAGUGAUUUUAACACCCUAGAAAGUCUUAUCUUCGUUCUUAAUUAUUCCUGCCUUUGUCAACUGCCCUCUUGACCGGGCCUCUGAACUGCUUGUUCAAUCCCUACCUGCCCCGCCUCAGAUCUAUUAUCUCCUAUGGAGUCAGUCCCUGUUUCACAAAAUAGCCUCUGUGGAGUGUCAUCAUUUCUGGGGCAGGAGCACUGUCCUCUAUUUACUUCCCUUCAAGAUGCCUAGAAUAGUUCUCUGGGGCCUUGAAGUAAAACAGUCUUUUGCACAAGGAUAGAGGAGAGACUGUGGUAGCUCCUGCUACCCCUGGCCCUGUUCCUUUGGGGCCUAGGGCACCGUGACAUUUGAUGUGGGCAAGGUAUCCUAGGUAAAUGGAUGUAAAAGGGUGAGCCCAUCAGGUAUUGGUCAUGGAGUGAGUGUUUCCAAAGAAUCAUUAUCUUCUUGUUUCUGAGCUUUCCAGACAUAACACUGCUUCUGUCCUUAGAUCCAGCACCUUUUUGGGUUUCAGUGGGCCCUGUCUUGAAAUCAUUACUCGCUAGCUGGUAGCAGUCACGAGCCAGCCAAAUCCAGCUGCCUGGGUGACCUUGGCCAAGACACUUCACCUUUCUGAAGCUCCAUUUUUUUUUUUUUAAUCUGUAAGAUGAGAGUCUGAGGGAACAAACCCAGGAUUAGUGACAUCUAGGGUCAGGUUAGUUCUCCAUUGUAAGAGCAUAGCAGCACACAGUACCCGGGAUGUCCCAGGAGCACCCCGUCCACAGUUGUGAGCCGUCGGUGCCUUCUAAGGUAGCCAGAGAACCUCUGACACACGCAACACAGCUAGCUGGGUUAGGUAGUGCUAAGUAAACACUAGUCCCCUUCUCAGCCUGUGACCAAGGCUGGAGGUUAGCCUCACAUUUACACAUGGGUCCCACCCUCCAAACAAGAACUGACUGUCAGAAAGAAUGACCGAGCACUUCCACAUCUGUGGACGGGCCCCUCACAUCAUCUCCCACCCUGGAACAGUGACACUGCCUAGCACACGUGUCUGGAUUUCUUGUGGAGCUCUUUGUUGCUGGUUUGUUGGAUUUAUGUAGCCCAGGACAGCCCUGAACUCCUGAUCCUCCCGCCCCAGUCCCCAGAACGCUAGGGUUACAGGCCUGCAUCACCAAAUCUAGUUCUGUGUGGGCUUUUCCUCUGUGAGUAAUGGGACUUUCUUCAACCUGGUGUUGUAAGACUUUGAGCAUACAGUAAGCAGCCAAUAAGUGCCAGCCUUUACUAAUUCCGCUCACAGUCUGAUGCUAGAGGUGCCUGUGUCUUUUAGGGUUGAUUUGCAGUAAAGAGAAGGAAACACGGGCUAACAAGAGCUUAAAAGCUAAGGGCAUCAUUUUCUCAGAAGAGGCCCAGAGCUGGGUUCCUGAGGCUGACUCAAAAUGUAGUAACGUCGUCAGAGCACCUCUGACCUUGCUGUCUCUGUCACGGUGUUUGGCCUCCAAGUCACAAGAUGGCUGCUGAGAAGAGACAUCACCUCCUCUCACACAACUGUCCCGUGGCAGAAAGAGGACAAAGGGGACCCUGUCUCUUCUGUGCCUCUCUUAUUGAAAGGAUAAAAGUUAAGACCCAGCAGGUCAGAGCUGGGUCGCGUGGCCACUCCCCUAAUAGUCCCUGACCAAGACCAAGGAUCACAGCAUUGACUUAGGAGAGGCCUAUUUCAUAUCCUGGGACACUGCACCCCUAAACACGUGGGGUUCUGUUAACAAGCCUAGGGGGCCCUAAAGGUAAAGCAACAAGCACCUACUAAGCACCUGGCCUUGAAGGACAUGCUGAGCAGGAUACAGGUUACAGAAGUGAGCUGUGAGGACAGGAAUAGAGGUAAUAGCAAGUUCCUGCCCUUUCAUUCAACCGAUGGUAGCGAGAGCCUAAUAUGCAGCUACUGGGGGUUGGUAGAGGUCAGGACAGAUGUCCAGAGCAAGGAGAGGUCCCAAACAUGAUGGUCACAGUUCUUUCUGCUUCCCAGAGGCAAGCAAAGCAAAAGCCAAGAAUACACAGCUGAGGGGCCUGCAGGCCUCUGAUGACUCCAUACCCCCGACAGAGACAACUUUGUCCACAGUUGGUGGGAUCAGUGGGGGCACCCUCUGUACCCUGUCUGGUGAGACUCUCAGAUUAGCUACUACUGACUGAGAGUGACUUACUAAGCCAAAGGUUGUGUAACGAUCUCUUCCAAGAUGAAAAUGUCCCAUCCAGCAGGGAAACUCCUUAAGCGGGGAGGUGAACAACCAAAGAGACUUCAAGAGCUCCCUGAAGCUGAGCAGACUCACUAGGCCCUGCCCUGCCGCCAGAGUAAGCAAUCAAAGUUAAGAGUCCCUCUCAGACAGCAGGAAGUUGAGCAGCAAGGAAGACUCUGAGACCAGACUAGCCACCCAGAAGAAGCAGAAACCAGCCCAGCUGCUGGAAGAGUUUUAAGCCAGCUGGGACAGCUAGAAGGGACACUCUCCGGCCCGCUGAGCUGCCUGCAGGCUGUGCAAGUGUGCUCCAGGUUCUCAGCUUCAUGAGCUGUCACCCGUGCUGGGGUGGACACCUGAUGAUGUCUUUGAGUCAUUUCUGCUCCUAUAUGAGGACCCAAGCUUCCGGUAGGUAGCCAUGGGUAUCAAGAUGGCUAACAGAAUACCUCAAACCAACCAGCAAGAGAAGAAAAUUCUGGGAAAGAUGAUCUGGUCCUCAAAGAAAGAAACCAGAAGCAUCUCAUGUGUCUUCCUCCAUGCCCAGGACAUGGCCACCCCAAUGUCUGAACCCAAAUCCAUACCACACCAUCUCUCACUUCCUAGAUGCUGCCGGUGACUUGUGGAAGCUGUGACCUCUGUGUACAAACAUUACCAUCAAACCCAGUGCGACCAGCUGCUUCCUGCUCCCGCCAUCUCCACUUCUGCUCCGUGGAGAACUACACACCGAAUGGCCAGCCAGAACAAAUACUUCUCCCUUAAGUUGCUUUAGUCAUCGUAUUUUAUCACGGCAAGAGAUAAGUGACUACAGCAGAUGGCAAAGCCAUUCAUGAGAGGUACAAGAGCCUGUAGGUUUCCUCUGGGGCUGGGCAGGGGUGAGGAAUCAGAUGAGCUUCUGAGAUGUACUACAGGACUGGAGUGUGUAUGUGCGCGUCAUGUGAGCUCGCUUUAUAAUAAUCUCUUACAUUUACAUCAUUUUCUUUGUUUACAUUUAUUUUGGGGAGGAUGACGGUGCAGUAUGCAUGCAGAGGUCAGAGGACAGCUGUGAAGAGUCACUUCUCUCCUUCCACACAUGGAUCCAGGGAUCGAACACAGGUGGGCAGGCUUAGCGACAAGCUCCUUUACCCACUGAGCAAUUUCACCUGCCCCCACAUUUACUCUUUAAGCAUUUUUCUUUAAGGGAAGGUUUCUCAGCCAGGUGUGGUAGUACAUGCUUUCAUCUCAGAACUUGGGAGGCAGAGGCAG